AAUUUGUUUGCAAAUGCUUCUGCAAAAAAUUGAUGCAGCCGUGAAAGCCAGCUUUAUUGAAAUCGCCUGAGUUACCAAGUGUUUUUCAGAAGGUACAUUUUUAAAGCAGUGUAUGCUGAAGAUAUGUGAGCAAGUGUGCCCUGACCAGAAAGGCGUUUAAAAAUGUUAGCUUGUCAAGAAACACUAUGCAGACCAACUAUGUGUUCAUACAGAAACAAGUCUUUUAUUUUUUUUAAUAAACUGUACAAUAGUUGUACAUUUGAAUACACUUUAUUUUACUGGUCUUUUACUGUCAAAACUGGGUAUUAAUUGAGUUAUUACCAAAAUGAGUAAUUAAAUGCAGAUGUAAUUAUGCAGUGUGAGAGAUACAUUUAUAUAGUCUUACAGUUACAACCGGCCCUUUGAGAGCAACCAUAAUACUGAUGUGGCCCAGGAUGAAAUCGAGUUUGACACCCCUGGUUUAGAUGGUUAAAAUAGGGCACUUGGAGAAUCUAUGGCAAGGUUCAUUUUAGCCAUUCAACACCUUACUAACACACUAUGUUGUGUUUUCCUUUCACUAAUCACCUGUCUUUUGGAUCCAGUACCUUUAACAACAUCAAUCUUACAAGAAAUAUUCACUCCAACACACAGACAGCAGCUGUGGAGAGGAAACGUGCACGCUCUGUAGGAGACCCUCCACAGACCUCUAAAAGGGACUCUUUAGGACAUAGCAAGCCGAGGGCAAGGAGGGCGACGCCAAGCUUCAGCUACAGUCACACACACCCCAGUUGAAUGCUCCCUAUCAUCCAGUGUGGAGGUUCCACUUACUGUGCCCUCAGCAGAGCUAAAUCCUCAAGAGCAAUUUGAAAAAAUAUGGAGAGGCUCUCUGAUAUUUUGACAUCUUAUCCUGCUGCUGAGCCUCAGAAAAGCUCUGCAUCAUCAUGGUCUUUGCGGCAGCAGAAAGCCUCAGAGCGCUAGACCAUACCACCUAAAAUGCCUUAUUGCAAAAGAGGCUGAUGGUCAGCCGUUGUGUUUUCUUUACUAUGAGCCUGCUGUUAUUAGGUGCAGAGAGUGUCUUCCUGAGGAGUGGUUCUGUGGGGACUGUGAUGUAUUGCGACACAAAAAACAGCCACUCCACAACAGGGAACGUGUGAUUCAUGGGUUUUUUGAAGCAAACCCUCCAACCUCAUGCGUCAUUAAAGGGCAAGAUGGAUAUUGCAUCCGUGAGAAAGCAUGCAUUUCGCCAACAGUGAAGGUGCCAUACUGCUCCUGUGAAGGCACAAACUUCACCACCUACUUUGGUUUAUGGAGUGUCCAACUUCAAGUUUAUGUACACAAAAACACUUUCAUUUUCUAAUAAUAGGCCGUUAUAU